UCUUAGGUUCAACUCUACCAAAAUUGCAUGGAGUUCUACAUUUCUCGGAUCUGUGGCAUUCAAUUGAUUCCACCUACCGUAUUCCUUGGACCACCCCCUCAGAGACCUCAACAACCAAAGGGGUCAUCAUCACAAAGCUAUUAAUGUAAUUAAAUACAAGAGGUUGCAGCUGAAGUAAUGGAAGAUCACAAGUAAACUUCGUAAGGUAGAACUACCCAUUAUGCUCUACAACCCUCAACGCACUUAACUUGUGUAUAUUUUAUGUUCUGGUGGGGGGAAGGAGCAUAUUACGCAUUAAUGAUAUUUUGUUUUCACAUUUGCAUUAACUGAGCAAGAGCAUCUUUGUUCCAUUGAAGCUACAGUUCUUUCUUAUACAAAUUAAUGAACUUAAAUAAUUCUGUUACAUACUCUUAAGCUAAAUUCGUCUGAUGUUGUUAAAAAGAACUUGACUGUGUUCCUGGAUAUGUUUUUUUUUCAAAAAGAAUGAAUAAAUGUAUUUACAAACAAGAA